rnacentral:rRNA from 1 species
AAUGAACGCUGGCGGCAGGCCUAAAACAUGCAAGUCGAACGCCCUAGCAAUAGGGAGUGGCGCACGGGUGAGUAACAUGUGGGAAUAUGCCUUUUGGUACGGAGCAACGUUUGGAAACGAACGCUAAUACCGUAUGGUCCCUCCGGGGUAAAGAUUUAUCGCCAAAAGAUUAGCCCGCACUAGAUUAGCUAGUUGGUAAGGUAAUGGCUUACCAAGGCGACGAUCUAUAGCUGUUGUGAGAGGAAGAUCAGCCCCACUGGGACUGAAACACGGCCCAGACUCCUACGGGAGGCAACAGUUAGGAAUAUUGGACAAUGGGCGCAAGCCUUAUCCAGCCAUGCCGCGUGAGUGAUGAAGGCCUUCGGGUUGUAAAGCACUUUAAGCAGGGAGGAAGGCUUUGUGGUUAAUAACCAUGAGGAUUGACGUUACCUGCAGAAUAAGCACCGGCUAACUCCGUGCCAGCAGCCGCAGUAAAAC